UACGUAGGGUCCGAGCGUUGUCCGGAAUUAUUGGGCGUAAAGAGCUCGUAGGCGGUCUGUCGCGUCGGCUGUGAAAACACGGGGCUCAACUCCGUGCCUGCAGUCGAUACGGGCAGACUAGAGUUCGGUAGGGGAGACUGGAAUUCCUGGUGUAGCGGUGAAAUGCGCAGAUAUCAGGAGGAACACCGAUGGCGAAGGCAGGUCUCUGGGCCACUACUGACGCUGAGAAGCGAAAGCAUGGGGAGCGAACAGG
rnacentral:rRNA from 1 species